ensembl:ribozyme RNaseP_nuc Nuclear RNase P
UUUGUAGAGAAGCUCAUCAGUGGGGCUAGGAGCUGAGUGCACUUAGUCACUCUGUCCCAUGUCCCUUGGGAAGGUCUGGGACUAGGGCCAUAGCACGGCCCUAAAAGGGCCUUCCCUGAGCUUUGGGGAGGUGAGUUCCCAGAGAACGGGGCUCCACGCACACAAGGGCAGACUGGGCAGGAGGUGCUAUGGACCCCGCCUUUGCAGAGGGUCCUGGCGGAUGCCUCCUUAGCCAGAAUUUGGAACAGACUCACUGCCAGCGAAGUGAGUUCAAUGGCUGAGGUGAGGUACCCUGCGUGGGGGCCUCAUAACCCAAUUCAGACUACUCCCGCCCAUA